CAUUAUAUUCUGGGAGUUUAUAUAAUUUCCCUUUUCUCAUUUGGUUCAAAAUGAAAUAUCCUUUCAGGUGUCCUACAAGUGGUUAAGUCGUAACUUUCUGGUCUCAUCUAAUGUCGCAAAGAGGUUGCUUGCAGAGUUUGUUGAGAAACAUGGAAGUGGGUUAGAAGUUGUAUAUAGUUUGUCUGGCUGGUUGAAGAACUCUCCAUCAAACUAUCAUAUUCAGCUUGUGACAGGGCCUAAACUUCCAGAAGCCAAGCAAGAAUAUGAUUGCAAUUGCACAGUUCAUGUGUAUAGUGUGCAAGCUUGCAUCCCAAAGGACCCAGCUGCUCAAAAGUGUAUAAGUUGAACAUGUGAGA